UACGUAGGGUGCAAGCGUUGUCCGGAAUUAUUGGGCGUAAAGAGCUCGUAGGCGGUCUGUCACGUCUGCUGUGAAAACUCGGGGCUUAACCCCGGGCCUGCAGUGGGUACGGGCAGACUAGAGUGCGGUAGGGGAGAUUGGAAUUCCUGGUGUAGCGGUGGAAUGCGCAGAUAUCAGGAAGAACACCCGUGGCGAAGGCGGCUCUCUGGAACGCAACUGACGCUGAGACGCGAAAGCGUGGGGAGCAAACAGG
rnacentral:rRNA from 1 species